GAUGAACGCUGGCGGCGUGCCUAAUACAUGCAAGUCGAGCGAACGGACGAGAAGCUUGCUUCUCUGAUGUUAUCGGCGGACGGGUGAGUAACACGUGGAUAACCUACCUAUAAGACUGGGAUAACUUCGGGAAACCGGAGCUAAUACCGGAUAAUAUUUUGAACCGCAUGGUUCAAAAGUGAAAGACGGUCUUGCUGUCACUUAUAGAUGGAUCCGCGCUGCAUUAGCUAGUUGGUAAGGUAACGGCUUACCAAGGCAACGAUGCAUAGCCGACCUGAGAGGGUGAUCGGCCACACUGGAACUGAGACACGGUCCAGACUCCUACGGGAGGCAGCAGUAGGGAAUCGGCCGCAAUGGGCGAAAGCCUGACGGAGCAACGCCGCGUGAGUGAUGAAGGUCUUCGGAUCGUAAAACUCUGUUAUUAGGGAAGAACAUAUGUGUAAGUAACUGUGCACAUCUUGACGGUACCUAAUCAGAAAGCCACGGCUAACUACGUG
rnacentral:rRNA from 1 species